UUUUAUGAGAGUUUGAUCCUGGCUCAGGAUUAACGCUAGCGGUAUGCCUAAUACAUGCAAGUCAAACGGCCAGCAAUGGUAGUGGCAAACGGGUGAGUAAUAUG
rnacentral:rRNA from 1 species